rnacentral:rRNA from 1 species
UACGUAGGGUGCAAGCGUUGUCCGGAAUUAUUGGGCGUAAAGAGCUCGUAGGCGGUUUGUCGCGUCUGCUGUGAAAACGCGAGGCUCAACCUCGCGCCUGCAGUGGGUACGGGCAGACUAGAGUGCGGUAGGGGAGAUUGGAAUUCCUGGUGUAGCGGUGGAAUGCGCAGAUAUCAGGAGGAACACCGAUGGCGAAGGCAGAUCUCUGGGCC